ACUGCUCACAGUGACUCAUGA
rnacentral:misc_RNA from 1 species